GAUGAACGCUGGCGGCGUGCCUAAUACAUGCAAGUCGAGCGAACGGACGAGAAGCUUGCUUCUCUGAUGUUAGCGGCGGACGGGUGAGUAACACGUGGAUAACCUACCUAUAAGACUGGGAUAACUUCGGGAAACCGGAGCUAAUACCGGAUAAUAUUUUGAACCGCAUGGUUCAAAAGUGAAAGACGUUCUUGCUGUCCCUUAUAGAUGGAUCCGCGCUGCAUUAGCUAGUUGGUAAGGUAACGGCUUACCAAGGCAACGAUGCAUAGCCGACCUGAGAGGGUGAUCGGGAACACGGGAACUGAGACACGGUCCAGACUCCUACGGGAGGCAGCAGUAGGGAAUCUUCCGCAAUGGGCGAAAGCCUGACGGAGCAACGCCGCGUGAGUGAUGAAGGUCGUCGGAUCGUAAAACGCUGUUAGUAGGGAAGAACAGAUGUGUAAGUAACUGUGCACAUCGUGACGGUACCUAAUGAGAAAGCCACGGCUAACUACGUG
rnacentral:rRNA from 1 species